rnacentral:misc_RNA from 1 species
CUUUGCUCUUCUAAGCAAAGGGAGGGUCGCGCCCCGCCGGCCCCCCCCCCCUCUCUCGCCCGGUUCGUGGGUUCCCUCUCCACCUCAGAUGGGUUUGUAGAUAAUUUUUUGUAUGCAGAAGUAGACAAUGGAGACUAGAAUAAGGAUCUAAAGUGGCUGCUGUAACUCCAUUGUUUGUUAGUUCUUUCUGUUCUUGGUUUUAUAGUUGUUGCAUAUAGAUGGUUUUAAGAGAUUUUGGUCCAUCGACCAUGCUGCUUGUGUGUGUGGAUCUGUAUUGAUAGGACACAAGGGAGGAAAGUAAUCUCACGGUCUUUAUCAACAACAACAUGUGCUAGCUAACCCAAGAUAGAGCUCUGCUUUCUUCUCCAACUUGAGCAUCAAAGAUUAUAACAACUCAAGCAUCAGUGUGUUUCCUUCGUUGAUGAUGGUGAGAGGUUGUGUUCUAUGUACAAUCUAGUGAAACGUAUCCACAGAGUAUACAAAAUCGCACAAGUAAUAUAGAUUGAGUACAAGUAAUAUAGAUUGAGUAGAGAAUAUAGAUUGAGUAGAGUAUCAUUCUCGUAAGAAUUGUCUUUAAUUAUCAAAAUUUAUAUUAAUUUUACUAUUUUAUAGACAAUUAAAA